rnacentral:rRNA from 1 species
AUUGAACGCUGGCGGUAGGCCUAACACAUGCAAGUCGAGCGGAGCGGGGAACGGGGGAGAAAUGCCUAGGAAUUUGCCGGGGAGUGGGGGAUAAAGUACGGAAACGGGCGCUAAUACCGCAUACUCCCAGAGGCGCCUAGGGUGUAUUAUCUAGUUGGUGGGGUAAAGGCCUACCAAGGCGACGAUCCUAAACUGGUCUGAGAGGAUGAUCAGUCACGCUGGAACUGAGACACGGUCCAGACUCCGACGGGAGGCAGCAGUGGGGAAUAUUGGACAAUGGGCGAAAGCCUGAUCCAGCCAUGCCGCGUGUGUGAAGAAGGUCUUCGGAUUGUAAAGCACUUUAAGUUGGGAGGCGUUACCAACAGAAUAAGCACCGGCUAACUUCGUGCCAGCAGCCGCGGUAAUAC